UACGUAGGGACCAAGCGUUGUUCGGAUUUACUGGGCGUAAAGGGCGCGUAGGCGGCAAUUCAAGUCAUCUGUGAAAUCUCCGGGCUUAACUCGGAACGGUCAGAUGAUACUGCUUUGCUAGAGUGCAGAAGGGGCAAUCGGAAUUCCUGGUGUAGCGGUGAAAUGCGUAGAUAUCUGGAGGAACACCGGUGGCGAAGGCGGCAUCCUGGACCAAUAUUGACGCUGAGGAGCGAAAGCCAGGGGAGCAAACGGG
rnacentral:rRNA from 1 species